rnacentral:rRNA from 1 species
CACGUAGGGGACGAGCGUUGUCCGGAUUCAUUGGGCGUAAAGCGCGCGUAGGCGGCUCGGAAAGUCGGGCGUGAAAUCUCGGAGCUUAACUCCGAAACUGCAUUCGAUACUGCCGUGCUUGAGGACUGGAGAGGAGACUGGAAUUUACGGUGUAGCGGUGAAAUGCGUAGAUAUCGUAAGGAAGACCAGUGGCGAAGGCGGGUCUCUGGACAGUUCCUGACGCUGAGGCACGAAGGUCAGGGGAGCAAACGGG